CGCCAUGGCAGGGCCUCGUCCAUCCAGCCUGGGCCGCGCUGGCCGGAGCAGACCGCAAGCGGCCCGCUGGGAGCCCAGCCAAGAGCGGUGUUUUUCCAGGUCCGCGCAGGGCCACGGGAACCCGCGUGUUUGUUUGGUGGGAAUGGAUUCCUGGAAAACUAGACGGAAGGCUCUCCCAGCUGCUGGCUCCGCUCUGUUGAUGGAUACCAUCCAGUGUCACCACAGGGGCUUCCAGUGCCUGGAAUUUUGGUGGGAGGAGAGCAACUUCAGGAAUGAAGGUAUGGGGACACCCCUGGUGGCUCAGCAGGUUAAGGAUCAGGCGUUUUCACUGCUGGGGCUGCUUGGCCUGGGAACUUCCACAUAUGGUGGAAGUUCCACAAAGGAGAAAACAAAGGGAUGAAGGUACGAACUUAAGAAAGUUUUGCCCCUGUUGCCGAAGCCGUGCAUUCCAUCCGAGGGCAUUUCUUUAGUCGCCGAACAUUCGCCCCGGCCGUAGAUAACGGUGUUGGACUAUAUCACCCCUUCAUACCCACUUCUCCCAGGUCCUCCAAGCACCUGGUGAUGGAGGUGCCCAUGGAGAUUUCCUGUGGAGGAAGAUGCCAGGGGCAGAACAGGGGCCUGGAAGGCUCACAGGGUGACUCUGUAUGGGGACACUGGUGAUCUUCUUCAAGAAAUGUCUAGACUGGGUGACCUCCCUGGAAAUCUGGCCCAAAGCCCUCCAGACCCAGAGGGACAAAUUGAGACCCAGAGAGGGGAAGGGACUGGCCCGUGUGACUCAGCAAGCUGGUGGCUGAGCUGCAGUGAAACCCCAGGGCUCGGGAGACCCAGUCCAUUCAUUUAUUGCACACAUUAGUUGAGGACCUACUAUGUGCUGGGCACUGUGCUCGGUGUUGGGGAUACAGCCUAUGCCUGCAUAGGUCUUACAUUCUCUGGUGUGUGUGUGUGUGUGUGUGUGUGUGUGUGUGUGUGGACUGUGGGUAAACGAAUUUAUUCCCCCGUGCUGUAUAGAUAGGUAGAAGUGCCACGAGACUCUGUGCUGUUUCCCUUGUCUUUGAAGGAAAUGGGCUUGAGGCUUGGGAGGAGACGCUCCGUCCCGCAUUCCCUCGUUAAAUACGUGCUAGUGACUGAUGUCUGAUUGCGUCCUGGCUGCUCUGGGGGACACGCACGCAAGAGCUUUUGCCUCCAAACCCUGCGCAGUCAGCUGGGCGGAGGAGACAUGCCUCUUAGCCUCUUUGCAGUCACGUCUGUAAUUUUUAUGCCUAUAUUGUCUUCCUCUCCUACUCUCUUCCCAGAAGCAGGUUUAUAGAAAACUCUGAUUCGGAAGUGGUGCAAACCCCUCUCCCCAAAGGCAUCUCAGACGCAGUCACUGUUACUGAGUUACUGAUGGACAUGAGCCAGUGGCCUUGGGGAGGCAGUGGGCAGGCCGGCCACAGUCUGUAAUAAGGGAGAGACAGUGCAGCAGUGAAUAAUAGAACAAAAAACUGCCGGCGCCUGCAGGAUCAAAGCGCGGGAGAAAUAGUGUCUCUGGGUUAAGCAGAUCAGCCGGAGGGGGCUGGGGCAGGCGGUGCACACCUUGGACUCCCUGGGAGGGAAGUCGGGGCUGCAGAGGAACCGUCAGCUGGAGAGGGGGUUUCUGUGCCUUCCGAGAUGCUCUCCUGUGGCUCUCUUUCGUGCCUUCCCUGGAUCGGGGACUCUUCCCUCUACCACCCCUUUCUUCUGUCCCACCCUCGAGAGUAACGAGAUGGAGAGGGGGAGGCAGGAGAGCCUGGACGCUGAGCUUAGGCAAGGCCAAAUUCCUUCCCAGCCCUCCGUCUUCCCUCCUGUCCAAGGAGGAGGUGGGAAUCUGGUCUCGAACUUUCUGCCCACUUUCGUAAACUGUAUGUCUCUGAAAAGAGGCGGUGAGAAUCUGCUGCUUAGGCUGUCUGUCCAGUUGCUUUUAGACCAGGCGGGGCGAUCGCCACAGCUGAACCUCCAUUUCUUGGGGGGACAGAAGGAGGGCAGGCGGUGCUCUCCACCGCCUUACCCCGCCCCCUGUUCCCACUUGCUAAUGGAGAAACUAGCAGCAGCCUUAGGGUAACUGGGGGUGGCGGUGGCAGUGGUGAAUUAUUAUUGGUAUUUUUAUCUUAAAAAACUGAGAUAUCGGUGUUAAUGUUUGCACCUUAAAAUAUAUACGCAGUUCUAGAGUAGGAAGCCCUGAUGGUGUGAGGUGGGCUGGGGAUGGUUGCAGGUGUUUAUCUCCGUCAAGAAGACCCCAGGGGCCCUCGGCGUUUGCUCUGAAAACCACGCCCCAUCCGCUCCUUGUGAAAGUGUGUACAGGCGCCCACGGUCAGCCUGAGUCCUGGCCUUUUGUCUUUCUUCCUCCGUAAGUCGAGGGGGGCGGUCCGUGUACAGUUAGAGGAGGAAAUAAGUCAGUCAGGAAAUAACUCAUUUUACUAUUGGAAAGUCACCUAAAACCUUUUGUUUAUGAGCACAGGGGCCUGUGGGGAGCGGGGGAGAAAACAAGACCAUUCGUAAAGACUGACGCUGCGGUGCUGGAUUUAAACCCGAGACGGGACCACGGAACCCAAUGCACAGGUCCACACGGCCGGGGCCUGGAGGUGUGAGCGCACAUGCACCAUGCCGGUGGGCCCUGCACAGACCUGCGUGAUGACACACCCAGACACACGCGUGUACCGAACCUCCUCCAGAUACACCCCGUCCAGGGUAGAGACCCGGCGUUCUGGGUUGACUGUGUCCCCUGGGACUUGCAAAGGUGACUUUUUUUGCAGAGUCUUGCAGACAGGUUAAGAUGAGGUCGGACUGGAGCAGAGUGGGCCCUGACCCAGUGUGACUGGUGUCCUGAUAUGAAGAGGAAGAUUUAAACCCAGAGAGAAAGAGGGAGGAAGGCCGUGUCCUGAUGGGGGCAGGGUUUGGAAGGAGGUUGCCACAAGCCAGGGAGCACCGGGGCCCCCAGAUGCUGGAAGAAGGGAAAGAUCCUGUCUUGGAGACUCGGGAGCAUGGGUGGCCCCGCAGCACCUUGAUUUUGGACUUCUGGCCUCCAUACAGUGAGAUAAUAAAUUUCUGGGUGUUUUUGUUUGUCUUUUUGUU
rnacentral:lncRNA from 1 species